ACGAACGCUGGCGGCGUGCUUAACCCAUGCAAGUCGAACGGAAAGGCCCUGCUUUUGUGGGGUGCUCGAGUGGCGAACGGGUGAGUAACACGUGAGUAACCUGCCCUUGACUUUGGGUUAACUUCAGGAAACUGGGGCUAAUACCGGAUAGGAGCUCCUGCUGCAUGGUGGGGGUUGGAAAGUUUCGGCGGUUGGGGAUGGACUCGCGGCUUAUCAGCUUGUUGGUGGGGUAGUGGCUUACCAAGGCUUUGACGGGUAGCCGGCCUGAGAGGGUGACCGGCCACAUUGGGACUGAGAUACGGCCCAGACUCCUACGGGAGGCAGCAGUGGGGAAUAUUGCACAAUGGGCGGAAGCCUGAUGCAGCAACGCCGCGUGCGGGAUGACGGCCUUCGGGUUGUAAACCGCUUUCGCCUGUGACGAAGCGUGAGUGACGGUAAUGGGUAAAGAAGCACCGGCUAACUACGUG
rnacentral:rRNA from 1 species